rnacentral:lncRNA from 1 species
GUGGAGCCAUGCCAGCCUCUUGGACCCAUGUGGCAAGUCACCUUUGCUGGUUCACCUUGGCCACCCCAGCCUGCAGGAUGGGUCUGAAAGAGGAGGGACGGUUGCUAACCAGGACGGAGGAUGCGGGAGAUUCCUGGAAGUGAGACGAGCCUACUGGAGCGAGUCCAAGACUGCUCAGCCAAGGGGGCACGCAAGUUCUCCCAGGUUCUAUUCCGUGGCUCCAUGCAGAUGCAUCUGCCUUCCCACCAGCGGUGUUAAUUAAGCAGCGUCCAUGGGCCCAUAACACCUAGGCAUCGAGCAGACCCAGCGGAACGCAACUCCAAUGACUGAAUUCCUCUCCCAUCACGUGACACGCUAUCAACCUUUCUUGCCACUGAGAAUACGUCCCUUCUCAAAGGUUUCUGCCCGCUGCCAGGUAAUCAAGUCUGUCUGAAUCCACAGGAGAGAGAGGUGGUGAUGGCAGCGUGGGGUGGGCAGAGCGCAGUGAGCACCAAAAC